UACGUAGGGUGCGAGCGUUUGUCCGGAAUUACUGGGCGUAAAGAGCUCGUAGGCGGUUUGUCGCGUCUGCCCGUGAAAGUCCGGGGCUCAACUCCGGAUCUGCGGUGGGUACGGGCAGACUAGAGUGAUGUAGGGGAGACUGGAAUUCCUGGUGUAGCGGUGAAAUGCGCAGAUAUCAGGAGGAACACCGAUGGCGAAGGCAGCUCGCUGGGACGUUACGACACUAAGGCGCGAAAGCGUGGGGAGCGAACAGG
rnacentral:rRNA from 1 species